rnacentral:rRNA from 1 species
AACGCGAAGAACCUUACCUGGUCUUGACAUCCACAGAACUUUGCAGAGAUGGAUUGGUGCCUUCGGGAACUGUGAGACAGGUGCUGCAUGGCUGUCGUCAGCUCGUGUUGUGAAAUGUUGGGUUAAGUCCCGCAACGAGCGCAACCCUUAUCCUUUGUUGCCAGCGGUCCGGCCGGGAACUCAAAGGAGACUGCCAGUGAUAAACUGGAGGAAGGUGGGGAUGACGUCAAGUCAUCAUGGCCCUUACGACCAGGGCUACACACGUGCUACAAUGGCAUAUACAAAGAGAAGCGACCUCGCGAGAGCAAGCGGACCUCAUAAAGUAUGUCGUAGUCCGGAUUGGAGUCUGCAACUCGACUCCAUGAAGUCGGAAUCGCUAGUAAUCGUAGAUCAGAAUGCUACGGUGAAUACGUUCCCGGGUCUUGUACACACCG